GACGAACGCUGGCGGCGUGCUUAACACAUGCAAGUCGAACGGAAAGACCCUGCUUUUGUGCGGUUCUCGAUUGGCGCACGGGUGAGUAACACGUGAGUAACCUGCCCUUGACUUUGGGAUAACUUCAGGAAACUGGGGCUAAUACCGGAUAGAAGCUCCUGCUGCAUGGUGGGGGUUGGAAAGUUUCGGCGGUUGGGGCUGGACUCGCAGCUUAUCAGCUUGUUGGUGGGGUAGUGGCUUACCAAGGCUUUGACGGGUAGCCCGCCUGAGAGGGUGACCGGCCACAUUGGGACUGAGAUACGGACCAGACUCCUACGGGAGGCAGCAGUGGGGAAUAUUGCACAAUGGGCGGAAGCCUGAUGCAGAAACGCCGCGUGCGGGAUGACGGCCUUCGGGUUGUAAACCGCUUUCGCCUGUGAUGAAGCGGGAGUGACGGUAAUGGGUAAAGAAGCAACGGCUAACUACGUG
rnacentral:rRNA from 1 species